UACGAAGGAUGCGAGCGUUAUCCGGAUUUAUUGGGUUUAAAGGGUGCGUAGGCGGUCUUAUAAGUCAGUGGUGAAAUCUUGUCGCUUAACGACAAACGUGCCAUUGAUACUGUAGGACUUGAGUACAGACGAGGUAGGCGGAAUUGAGCGGUGUAGCGGUGAAAUGCUUAGAUAUCGUCAAGAACACCGAUAGCGAAGGCAGCUUACUAGACUGUAACUGACGCUGAUGCACGAAAGUGUGGGGAUCAAACAGG
rnacentral:rRNA from 1 species